CGUUGGACUUGUACACAUUGGUAUUUGGUUUUUUCGUCAUAUAGUUCAGUUGCUGUUGCUUGUAUUUUUUUUAUAAACCAGUACAGGCUCAGGGCGCUCAGCGAUGUAGCGAAAUUUCGGGCCGUCUUUCACAACAAAUAACAUCACAAUAACUGCACGUCUUUUUCUCUUUACUACAGAAUUCUUUUCCCUGUCCAUUGAGUUAUAAUUUCAAAAACUAACCAGUCGUUAUAACGUAAAAUAAGCGGGUAUUUGUGAACAAAAAUGCCCUUUGAUGACACGAAGUAACCAGCGCCAUCUUGUCUUCUCCAAACCUUACAAAUUUUCCCGCCAAAAACUCCCCCAAAGUCCCGUAUGUACCUGACGUCACAAGGUCAUCGACGGGGGACUACCAUAUUUGGUAAAACUAAAUCCAAUAUAAUUUUAAUCUCUUUACGGUUUACCUUCGCUAUUUUUGCUUUCCGCAUAUUGUUUGACCCAACCACGACUGUAACACAACAAUUUUUGCUCACUAAACAUUUUGAAAAUCAACAAAAAUACAGUAUUAAAUAAGAAUAUGCUCUUCGGGCGAACAUCGGGAGAAUCCGAAGUCGUCUGAGCCACUGACCUGUAUACAACA